rnacentral:rRNA from 1 species
AGAGUUUGAUCCUGGCUCAGAUGAACGCUGGCGGCAGGCCUAACACAUGCAAGUCGAGCGGAUGAGUGGAGCUUGCUCCAUGAUUCAGCGGCGGACGGGUGAGUAAUGCCUAGGAAUCUGCCUGGUAGUGGGGGACAACGUUUCGAAAGGAACGCUAAUACCGCAUACGUCUACGGGAGAAAGCAGGGGACCUUCGGGCCUUGCGCUAUCAGAUGAGCCUAGGUCGGAUUAGCUAGUUGGUGAGGUAACGGCUCACCAAGGCGACGAUCCGUAACUGGUCUGAGAGGAUGAUCAGUCACACUGGAACUGAGACACGGUCCAGACUCCUACGGGAGGCAGCAGUGGGGAAUAUUGGACAAUGGGCGAAAGCCUGAUCCAGCCAUGCCGCGUGUGUGAAGAAGGUCUUCGGAUUGUAAAGCACUUUAAGUUGGGAGGAAGGGCAGUAAGUUAAUACCUUGCUGUUUUGACGUUACCGACAGAAUAAGCACCGGCUAACCUCGUGCCAGCAGCCGCGGUAAUACGAAGGGUGCAAGCGUUAAUCGGAAUUACUGGGCGUAAAGCGCGCGUAGGUGGUUCAGCAAGUUGGAUGUGAAAGCCCCGGGCUCAACCUGGGAACUGCAUCCAAAACUACUGAGCUAGAGUACGGUAGAGGGUGGUGGAAUUUCCUGUGUAGCGGUGAAAUGCGUAGAUAUAGGAAGGA